GGGCCCGCACAAGCGGUGGAACAUGUGGUUUAAUUCGACGCAACGCGCAAAACCUUACCUGGAUUUGACAUCCCGGGCUCACCUCAGAGAUGAGGUUUUCUCUUCGGAGACCCGGUGACAGGUGCUGCAUGGCUGUCGUCAGCUCGUGUCGUGAGAUGUUGGGUUAAGUCCCGCAACGAGCGCAACCCUUGUCCCUAGUUGCCAGCAUUGAGUUGGGCACUCUAGGGAGACUGCCGGUGAUAAGCCGGAGGAAGGUGGGGAUGACGUCAAGUCCUCAUGGCCUUUAUGUCCAGGGCUACACACGUGUUACAAUGGGGGUGACAAAGAGUGGCCAAGCUGCGAAGCUGCGCAAAUCUCAAAAAAACCCUCUCAGUUCGGAUCGCAGUCUGCAACUCGACUGCGUGAAGUUGGAAUCGCUAG
rnacentral:rRNA from 1 species